UUUUAACUUAGCCAUUCCUAAUUUAUCUCAAGCAUAUUCAAUUCAUCUUCACUGCUCUAUGCACACAGGAACACCAGAUUGCCUUCCCUGGGGAACAGAAUGCAACCAGGGAUCUAGAGAGCUGUCACAUUCCAAGAAAUAUUUAAAUUGUGCUGAUUUUCUUCUGGAGAACUGAGCACAGGGAAUGAAACUCUCCAUCAAGUCAUAGCUUUGCGGGCAAUAGAUCAGAGGAUAUUGCCAGUUUUCUAAUGGAUUGUUGUUAUCGGGCAGGUUUUCUCUGAAGCUGUAUUGUAUUCAGAAUCAAACCUGUUAGACCUGCCUUCUGCUGACUUCUCAGCUUCUGUUAUAUCCUUCUUGGAUGGGGACUGGAGAUCAGCCAGAUCAGUUGUUUGCACAAAGCCGCUUUGGGUCUGCCUUUUCAAACAAAAGCUGCAGAAAAUGUUAUAGCAAGGUUGAAGCUUUAUUCCACUCUGACUCACCCAGAAAGCACAACCCUGAUUUUGCAUGAGAAGGACCAUCUAUGGAACCUAAAACUGUAUCAACAUUUUCUGCACAGGACAGAUUGUGAACAACCUCUUU